rnacentral:misc_RNA from 1 species
CAAUUUCAAUCGUUCCUUUCGUAAAUCCCAUUCAUUCUUCUCCGCCAUUAUGAUUUGCGUUGUUUUGUCAAAACGAAGAAAAUCCAUGUAACUUUUAUUGAAAUCCAUGUACAAACUACAAACGUUCAAAAUAAAUUUCUUGAAUGAACCCGGUGCUACUAGAGAUUAAAUACCACAUUAUUGUGAUAAGUAUUGAGUUUGUAAGAUGAGCGAAGCGGAAGAAUACAGCCAGCAGAAGCCCGCGAAAACGGGCAAGCAACAUAACAUAUUACCAAUAUGGGGUAACGAACAAACUAUGAACCUGAACCCAUUAAUACUAGCCAAUAUACAGGGCUCUAGCUACUUCAAAGUUCAUCUGUUCAAACUGAAGACAUACCAUGAAGUGGUGGACGAGAUCUACUACCAGGUGAAGCAUCUGGAGCCAUGGGAGCGCGGCAGCCGCAAGACUUCUGGCCAGACGGGCAUGUGUGGCGGCGUGCGCGGGGUGGGCGCGGGCGGCAUCGUGUCUACCGCAUUCUGCCUUCUGUACAAGCUGUACACCCUACGUCUCACACGGAAACAAGUCAAUGGUCUGCUGCAGCACGCCGACUCUCCCUACAUAAGAGCGCUCGGUAGGUUUCAUGUACGUGCGCUACACACAGCCGCCCGCGGACCUGUUCGACUGGUACGCGGAGUACCUCGACGACGAAGAGGAGAUCGAGCCGCGCGCGGGCGGCGGGGGCGGCGGCGCCACCACGAUUGGCGCCCUCGUCAGGCAGAUGCUCAUCAAACUCGACUGGUUCAGCACGCUGUUCCCCAGGAUACCAGUGCCCAUACAGAAACAGAUUGAACAGAAGUUAGCAGAGCACAACAGAAAGAUAGCCUCAGCGAAGCCGGCAGCGAAUUACCGCGGCAACGCCAGCAGCGGUUACAACCCGACGCGGAUGGAGCCCGACCGACGCGAGCACGAUGACCGAGAUAAACGGGACUACGGCGACGGCGACAGAUAUUCAAAAGACAGACCAAAGCGCGACGACAGACAGGAGAGGGAUCGCGACAGGGAUAGAGAGAGGGACCGCG